rnacentral:tRNA from 1 species
GCGGGUGUGGCGGAACGGUAGACGCGACGGACUCAAAAUCCGUUUCCGGCAACGGAGUGUCGGUUCGAGCCCGACCACCCGCACCA